rnacentral:rRNA from 1 species
UCGGGAAUUUUGGGCAAUGGGCGAAAGCCUGACCCAGCAACGCCGCGUGAAGGAUGAAGUAUUUCGGUAUGUAAACUUCGAAAGAAUAGGAAGAAUAAAUGACGGUACUAUUUAUAAGGUCCGGCUAACUACGUGCCAGCAGCCGCGGUAAUACGUAGGGACCAAGCGUUGUUCGGAUUUACUGGGCGUAAAGGGCGCGUAGGCGGCAAUUCAAGUCAUCUGUGAAAUCUCCGGGCUUAACUCGGAACGGUCAGAUGAUACUGCUUUGCUAGAGUGCAGAAGGGGCAAUCGGAAUUCUUGGUGUAGCGGUGAAAUGCGUAGAUAUCAAGAGGAACACCUGAGGCGAAGGCGGGUUGCUGGGCUGAUACUGACGCUGAGGCGCGAAAGCUAGGGUAGCAAACGGGAUUAGAUACCCUUGUAGUCCCUGAGCGGGCUGGCAAGGCGCAU